UGUAUAAGAGACAGCAGCAGCCACGGGAAUACGUAGGUGGCGAGCGUUGUCCGGAAUUAUUGGGCGUAGAGGGAGCGCAGGCGGACAUAUAAGUCCAUCUUAAAAGUGCGGGGCUCAACCCCGUGAGGGGAUGGAAACUGUAUGCCUUGAGUGUAGGAGAGGAAAGCGGAAUUCCCAGUGUAGCGGUGAAAUGCGUAGAUAUUGGGAGGAACACCAGUGGCGAAGGCGGCUUUCUGGACUGCAACUGACGCUGAGGCUCGAAAGCCAGGGGAGCGAACGGGAUUAGAUACCCGUGUAGUCCCUGUCUCUUAUACA
rnacentral:rRNA from 1 species